AUCUCUUGUUGGUCCUUUGGCCAAGAUUGGGUGUAGUAUCUGUUCUAAACAGUGUUACUAGCUGAUACGCCCCCUCUCUGGGGCCUAUUUAUUAAAGGGAAUUUUAGAAUAGGGAGAUGGAGGAAAAGCUUUCUCUUUCCACUCCACACCUGGUAUUGCAGUACUUCCAGGACCGGCACACAAU